rnacentral:rRNA from 1 species
GACAGAGGCCCCGAGCGUUAAUCGGAAUCACUGGGCUUAAAGGGUGCGUAGGCUGGUCCGAAAGUGCUUUGUGAAAUCCCCGGGCUCAACCCGGGAACAGCGGGGCAUACUGCGGAUCUUGAGGAAGGUAGGGGCCGCGAGAACAGUAGGUGGAGCGGUGAAAUGCGUAGAUAUCUACUGGAAUGCCGAUGGUGAAGACGCGCGGCUGGGCCUUUCCUGACGCUGAGGCACGAAAGCGUGGGGAGCAAACAGG